rnacentral:rRNA from 1 species
UACGUAGGGUGCAAGCGUUGUCCGGAAUUAUUGGGCGUAAAGAGCUCGUAGACGGUUUGUCGCGUCGAAUGUGAAAACCCGGGGCUCAACCCCGGGCCUGCAUUCGAUACGGGCAGACUAGAGUUCGGUAGGGGAGUCUGGAAUUCCUGGUGUAGCGGUGAAAUGCGCAGAUAUCAGGAGGAACACCGGUGGCGAAGGCGGGACUCUGGGCCGAUACUGACGCUGAGGAGCGAAAGCGUGGGGAGCGAACAGG